CGUAGGUGGCGAGCGUUAUCCGGAAUUAUUGGGUGUAAAGGGUGCGUAGGCGGGACGUAAAGUCAGAUGUGAAAUGCCGUGGCUUAACCACGGAGCUGCAUUUGAAACUUAUGUUCUUGAGUUAAGUAGAGGUAAAUGGAAUUCCCAGUGUAGCGGUGAAAUGCGUAGAUAUUGGGAGGAACACCAGUGGCGAAGGCGAUUUACUGGGCUUAAACUGACGCUGAGGCACGAAAGUGUGGGGAGCAAACAGGAUUAGAUACCCUGGUAGUCCACACUGUAAACGAUGAUUACUAGGUGUAGGGUGGCUGAACCAUUCUGUGCCGGAGUUAACACAAUAAGUAAUCCACCUGGGGAGUACGGCCGCAAGGUUG
rnacentral:rRNA from 1 species